GCUACCGACCACCGAUGUGAUGCGCUGUUCUAUACACUGGGAUACACUCAAAAACAGGUUUAGUGGUAAAAAAUGACUUUUUCAGAAAAUGAGGAUUUAUGUUAGUUAGACACUAACAAACAUGGAUACACUCUUUGUUUUAAGCCGACUUCGGCAUAGUCCACGUAUACCACCAAGGUUCGCGUAAUGACGGUGGGUAGUCAGGUAAAAUGGUAGGUAUACCCAGAGCCCUAUAAUAGAUAGAGUUUCCCUAAUAGAAAGAGUUACGAUCUCCGUUUACUCCAAUGGACCAUUUGUGUACAGCAAUGGCGGAUCGUGGAGCCUCUCAAUAGUUCCCGGAAGUUAGCGGCAAGGCUAGCAGCGCAGUAGAGUUGCAGCAUAAUAGACCGUUCGUGAUGGACUUUUAAAGCUCAGCUGAUUUUGGAUUGAUGGCAAAGGGAGAUGGACUUAAGUGAGAGUGAAAACACAAGCACAAGAACCCCAGGGGGAUUCAAUGGAGCCUGAAGACCUGCAAUGAGACCCUCACCCUGCACCUGAGUCUCAACUCCCAGAGUUUUGCAAGCCUCUCCCUGUUCCUUAUUUUUAUUAAACCAGACAUUAAGCUUC